CCUACGGGUGGCAGCAGUGGGGAAUAUUGCACAAUGGGGGAAACCCUGAUGCAGCGACGCCGCGUGAGUGAAGAAGUAUUUCGGUAUGUAAAGCUCCAUCAGCAGGGAAGAAAUAGCGACCUUUGGUUCGCCAGACGGUAUCUGAUUAAGAAGCCCCGGCUAACUACGCGCCAGCAGCCGCGGUAAUACGGAGGGGGCAAGCGUUAUCCGGAUUUACUGGGUGUAAAGGGAGCGUAGACGGCAGCGUAAGUCUGAAGUGAAAUGCCGGGGCUUAAACCCGGAACUGCUUUGGAAACUGUGCAGCUAGAGUGGAGGAGAGGUAAGUGGAAUUCCUAGUGUAGCGGUGAAAUGCGUAGAUAUUAGGAAGAACACCAGUGGCGAAGGCAGCUUACUGGACUGUAACUGACGUUGAGGCUCGAAAGCGUGGGGAGCAAACAGGAUUAGAUACCCGGGUAGUC
rnacentral:rRNA from 1 species